GCUUACGGCCAUACCAGCCUGGGUACGCCCGAUCUCGUCUGAUCUCGGAAGCUAAGCAGGGUCGUGCCUGGUUAGUACUUGGAUGGGAGACCGCCUGGGAAUACCAGGUGCUGUAAGCA
rnacentral:rRNA from 1 species